GACGAACGCUGGCGGCGUGCUUAACACAUGCAAGUCGAACGCUAAAGCCUUGUUCUUGCGCGGGGCUGAUGUGUGGCGAACGUGUGUAUAAUACGUGAGUAACGUCCCCGACAUUCGGGUAUCUGCCGGGGAAACGGGCUCUUAUAGUGUAUGAGCCAUGCCACUACGUGGGGGUUUGUGGAAAUUGGUUUAGUGGGUUUGGAUUGGCUCGCGGCCUAUCAGCUUGUUGGUGGGGUACUGGCCUACCAAGGCGACGACGGGUAGCCGGCCUGAGAGGGUGACCGGCCACACUGGGACUGAGAUACGGCCCAGACUCCUACGGGAGGCAGCAGUGGGGAAUAUUGCACAAUGGGCGGAAGCCUGAUGCAGCAACGCCGCGUGAGGGAUGACGGCCUUCGGGUUGUAAACCGCUUUCGGCACGGAAGAAGCGAGAGUGACGGUAAUGGGAGAAGAAGCGCCGGCUAACUACGUG
rnacentral:rRNA from 1 species